AAUUGAUGUUGCAGGUAUCUAGUGCACAACUUAUUGAAUCUUUCCCAAUAGUCAUAUAAAGACUCCCCGAGGUACUGUUUGAUGCUACAUAUCUCUUUUCUCAGACU